UUACUCCAGGGGCAUAUAAACUACAACUUGAAGGAUAAAAAUAAGACUAGAAUCUACCCAUUUCAAGGAUGACAUACAUAUUUGUGAAAUGUCCUAUAUUUGU
rnacentral:snRNA from 1 species